UACGUAGGGUGCGAGCGUUAAUCGGAAUUACUGGGCGUAAAGGGCUCGUAGGCGGCCAACUAAGUCAGACGUGAAAUCCCUCGGCUUAACCGGGGAACUGCGUCUGAUACUGGAUGGCUUGAGUUCGGGAGAGGGAUGCGGAAUUCCAGGUGUAGCGGUGAAAUGCGUAGAUAUCGGGAGGAACACCAGUGGCGAAGGCGACUUCCUGGCCUGUUCUUGACGCUGAGGCGCGAAAGCUAGGGGAGCAAACGGG
rnacentral:rRNA from 1 species